AGAGCCGUAUGAAAGGAGACUUUCACGUACGGUUCUGUGAGAAGUUUGGGGUGAAAUUCCUCUUACUUACUUGACUGAGAGGUCGGUAGAUAAAAUAAUUAUCUACCU
rnacentral:ncRNA from 1 species